rnacentral:rRNA from 1 species
CGGCGGACGGGUGAGUAACGCGUGGGUAACCUGCCUCAUACAGGGGGAUAACAGUUGGAAACGGCUGCUAAUACCGCAUAAGCGCACAGUACCGCAUGGUACGGUGUGAAAAACUCCGGUGGUAUGAGAUGGACCCGCGUCUGAUUAGGUAGUUGGUGGGGUAACGGCUACCAAGCCGACGAUCAGUAGCCGACCUGAGAGGGUGACCGGCCACAUUGGGACUGAGACACGGCCCAA